rnacentral:rRNA from 1 species
UGGGGAAUUUUGGACAAUGGGCGAAAGCCUGAUCCAGCAAUGCCGCGUGUGUGAAGAAGGCCUUCGGGUUGUAAAGCACUUUUGUCCGGAAAGAAAUCCUUGGCUCUAAUACAGUCGGGGGAUGACGGUACCGGAAGAAUAAGCACCGGCUAACUACGUGCCAGCAGCCGCGGUAAUACGUAGGGUGCAAGCGUUAAUCGGAAUUACUGGGCGUAAAGCGUGCGCAGGCGGUUUGCUAAGACCGAUGUGAAAUCCCCGGGCUCAACCUGGGAACUGCAUUGGUGACUGGCAGGCUAGAGUAUGGCAGAGGGGGGUAGAAUUCCACGUGUAGCAGUGAAAUGCGUAGAGAUGUGGAGGAAUACCGAUGGCGAAGGCAGCCCCCUGGGCCAAUACUGACGCUCAUGCACGAAAGCGUGGGGAGCAAACAGGAUUAGAUACCCUGGUAGUCCACGCCCUAAACGAUGUCAACUAGUUGUUGGGGAUUCAUUUCCUUAGUAACGUAGCUAACGCGUGAAGUUGACCGCCUGGGGAGUACGGUCGCAAGAUUAAAACUUAAAGGAA